UUUCCGUAGGUGAACCUGCGGAAGGAUCAUUACCGAGAGAGGGUGCUCUGCGCGCCCGACCUCCCAACCCUUUGAUGACAUACCGCGUUGCCUCGGGGCUGCCUUUCGUUAGGCGCCCCCGAAGGUCUCCAAACACUGCAUCUUUGCGUCGGAGUUUGAAACAAAUUAAACAAAACUUUCAACAACGGAUCUCUUGGUUCUGGCAUCGAUGAAGAACGCAGC
rnacentral:misc_RNA from 1 species